UAAAAGUUUAAUUUUAGCUUAAAAUUUUGUUAUUAAUAUAUUUUAUAUGUAAAUUUUUGUGUGAAUUUUUAUCUAUUUUAAUAAUAAAUAAAUUUAUUUAUAAUCUCAGUAAUUAAUUUUAUUAAUCAAGGUAACUUGUAAAUAGUAAUUUUAUUAAGUAUUGGUUAAAUUUGUGCCAGCAGCCGCGGUUAAACAAAUAAUACAAAUAAAAUAAAUUUAGUGGAAGUUAAUUUUAAAAUAAAAAAAAUAAAUAUAAAUUUAUUAGGUGAAAUUUUAAAUUUAUAAAUUUUUAUUUAAUAAAAUAAUGAAGCUUGUAAAUUUUAAUUAAAAACUAGGAUUAGAUACCCUAUUAUUUAAAAAGUAAUUAAAAACACUAAGGUAGUAUUAGUUAUGUUCUUGAAACUUAAAAAAUUUGGCGGUAUUUUAGUCUAUUCAGAGGAACCUGUCCUGUAAUUGAUAAUCCACAAUGUACCUUACUUAAAUUUGUUUUUCAGUUUAUAUACCGUCGUUAUUAGAAUAUUUUAUUAGAAUAAUAAUUUUCAAUAAUUUUUAUAAGAAUUUAUAUCAGAUCAAGGUGUAGCUUAUAUUUAAGUAGAGAUGGGUUACAAUAAAUAUAUUUAAAUGAAUUUAAUUUUCAAAAUUUUAAUGAAGGUGGAUUUGAUAGUAAAAAUUAAAAGAUUAUAGUUUUGAUUUUAGCUCUAAAAUAUGUACACAUCGCCCGUCACUCUUAUUAUUAAGAUAAGAUAAGUCGUAACAUAGUAGAUGUACUGGAAAGUGUAUCUAGAAUGA
rnacentral:ncRNA from 1 species